GAUGAACGCUGGCGGCGUGCCUAAUACAUGCAAGUCGAGCGAACAGACGAGGAGCUUGCUCCUCUGACGUUAGCGGCGGACGGGUGAGUAACACGUGGAUAACCUACCUAUAAGACUGGGAUAACUUCGGGAAACCGGAGCUAAUACCGGAUAAUAUAUUAAACCGCAGGGUUAAUUAGUAAAAGACGGUUUUGCUGUCACUUAUAGAUGAAUCCGCGCCGCAUUAGCUAGUUGGUAAGGUAACGGCUUACCAAGGCAACGAUGCGUAGCCGACCUGAGAGGGUGAUCGGCCACACUGGAACUGAGACACGGUCCAGACUCCUACGGGAGGCAGCAGUAGGGAAUCUUCCGCAAUGGGCGAAAGCCUGACGGAGCAACGCCGCGUGAGUGAUGAAGGUCUUCGGAUCGUAAAACUCUGUUAUUAGGGAAGAACAAAUGUGUAAGUAACUAUGCACGUCUUGACGGUACCUAAUCAGAAAGCCACGGCUAACUACGUG
rnacentral:rRNA from 1 species